rnacentral:rRNA from 1 species
GACGAACGCUGGCGGCGUGCUUAACACAUGCAAGUCGAACGGAAAGGCCCUGCUUGCAGGGUACUCGAGUGGCGAACGGGUGAGUAACACGUGGGUGAUCUGCCCUGCACUUCGGGAUAAGCCUGGGAAACUGGGUCUAAUACCGGAUAGGAGCCAUUUUUAGUGUGAUGGUUGGAAAGUUUUUUCGGUGUAGGAUGAGCUCGCGGCCUAUCAGCUUGUUGGUGGGGUAAUGGCCUACCAAGGCGGCGACGGGUAGCCGGCCUGAGAGGGUGGACGGCCACAGUGGGACUGGGAUACGGACCAGACUCCUACGGGAGGCAGCAGUGGGGAAGAUUGCACAAUGGGCGCAAGCCUGAUGCAGCGACGCCGCGUGGGGGAUGACGGCCUUCGGGUUGUAAACUCCUUUCGCUAGGGACGAAGCUUUUUGUGACGGUACCUAGAUAAGAAGCACCGGCUAACUACGUG